rnacentral:rRNA from 1 species
CAGCCGCCGCGGUAAUACGUAGGGUGCAAGCGUUAAUCGGAAUUACUGGGCGCAAAGCGUGCGCAGGCGGUUAUAUAAGUCAGAUGUGAAAUCCCCGGGCUCAACUUGGGAACUGCAUUUGAGACUGUAUGGCUAGAGUGUGUCAGAGGGGGGUAGAAUUCCACGUGUAGCAGUGAAAUGCGUAGAUAUGUGGAGGAAUACCGAUGGCGAAGGCAGCCCCCUGGGAUAACACUGACGCUCAUGCACGAAAGCGUGGGGAGCAAACAGGAUUAGAUACCCCGGUAGUCCCUGUCUCUUAUAA